UAUGCAAGUGACGAUAAAUUAGACAGGGACAUCAGCACUUUUGUAAAGAAUGAUGAUUGUCUUUGGGAAUCUCUCCGAUGCAUA
rfam:Glycine max cultivar Williams 82 chromosome 17, whole genome shotgun sequence.